rnacentral:rRNA from 1 species
GACGAACGCUGGCGGCGUGCCUAAUACAUGCAAGUAGAACGCUGAAGAGAGGAGCUUGCUCUUCUUGGAUGAGUUGCGAACGGGUGAGUAACGCGUAGGUAACCUGCCUUGUAGCGGGGGAUAACUAUUGGAAACGAUAGCUAAUACCGCAUAACAAUGGCUGACACAUGUCAUUUAUUUGAAAGGGGCAAUUGCUCCACUACAAGAUGGACCUGCGUUGUAUUAGCUAGUAGGUGAGGUAAUGGCUCACCUAGGCGACGAUACAUAGGCGACCUGAGAGGGGGGAUGGCCCACAUGGGAACGGGGAAACGCCCAAGACUCUAACGGGAGGCGGAGGAGGGGAACUUUGGACAAGGGGGGAAACCCGGACCAGGAAAGCCGGGUGGGGGGAGGAGGUUCUCGGGUCGGUAAGCUCUGUUGUAAGUCAAGAACGGGUGUGAGAGUGGAAAGUUCACACUGUGACGGUAGCUUAACAGAAAGGGACGGCUAACUACGUG